GCAGAGCUACAGUUCUUAAUUAAUGAAAUUCAAAAAGUGAUAAAAAUGAUUCGUGACAACAUGAAUAAUUUGGAUUACUCCAGGGUGAAAGAUUCUCUGACGUGUCUAACUAUGAAGUGGUCCUUGACAUUACAAGAUGCUAAAAGUCAAGAAAAAACGAUAUUUAACUGGGCCACAGCCAGACCCCACCAACC
rnacentral:sRNA from 1 species